GUUUACGGGAGACCGCACAACACAAACCGUCGUCGGGUGAUAACAACCGCCGCGUGAUAAGGUCAAGGAAUAAUGAGAUAAUAGAUUGAAGAUUGUUGUAAUUGUUGUACAGAAAAAAAAAAAAAAAAAAUUACCAAUAUGAAGAGUAGUAUCGUUUUAUUAAUUUUAUUAUCUUUUUGUUUGAGUAUUAUUGGAUACUCAAAUUUUAUCGAAAAUCCAAGAUUACUAAGUACUACGUUUAGAAUGUAUAAAAAUUAUUGUUAUUUUUUAUUUAACGUACCUAAUAUAAUUUAAAAAAUUUUAAAAUUCAAAA